GGUUGCGAAUGUUAUGGUUUUGUCCUGUAUAUGUUUGGAAAUAUUUUUUUUUCGUUUCGUUCAUGCUUCUGUAACAUGUUCCACUGUUGUUGUGAUUGUCAGUUCUUGCAAUGCGUUAACAUACAACUAUAAUCGAUUCCAACGUUAUUUUCAGCUAGGUAAAAGCGAUCAGAAUAUUUGCCUGUGCGUUGCGCAACAAUACAGAUUAUCCAGAUUGGCUGCUAAGGUAAUGUCAUAAAAAUGCACAUGUUGCUGUAUAUAAAAACUGGUAAAUGCGUCGUGUGGUGGCAUCGAGUCAAGGCUCAAAUGCGGAGGCGAGGAAUUCCAACUAAUGGCUAAUUUUUCCAAGCACGCGCAAUUCUCGUGCCCGCCAGCAGGGCGACGCGGAGUAAGGAAUUCUCACGACGUCAGCAAGAGGGCCACGUGACGCCCGUGCUAAGACGUGUGCAAUUCCAUUGGAAACCUACAUAAUUCCAAGCUUACAGGUCCUGGCCAGUGCAAGAAGUGACAACUGCAACGGAGGCGGUAGCGCCUUUGAAGAUUGAAGGGGUUACGACCUUCUGCCUAGAUUCAUCGGACCCUACAGUUUCAUUCCCGGGGACUCGCAAGCCCUCCUUUCUGGCUAGUCAAAGUUGGAAACGGAAUGAUGAAUUAUACCUUUGUCCUUUGUUAACUCGGAAAAAGGAGUGAAAUUCUGAACGCUGGUUGAGGGAGGGAACAAUACGUUGAGAAUUUUAACAAGAGAACGGGUUUCAGGUACACAUUUAACAGAAUUAUAGGGUGUCUAGAAAGGACAAUUCUCAAGCCUUCAGCUGACAAAAUGUUCUGAAAACACUUUUCCUAAAAUAUAACGCGUCUAUAGCUUCUUCUCAUUAGGCCUAUAUAUUCAGUUUAUUUUGAAGUCGUGUUACACAUGAACUAAAUGGCAGCCUCGUGCAUUGAUAUUUUCUUGCCAUUUAUAAAGUUUUCGUGUCUUAUCUUUACAAUUUGAGUAACUGAUUAUCUUUCUAUUAAAAAUAGUUUAUUAGUGUUGAUAUUGACUAUUUCAGUUUCGUUGAUAUAAACCAGCGGUUCUUAGGUUUUUAAAAGGUGCUUCAAGAUGAACAUUUGGGAUAAGUACGAAAGGUACAGCCGCACAGCCUCCUCCGAUUACUUGUACAGGUAACAUUUAGGCUGUCGCUCUAUGUUUAGAAACUGCACAACUUCCGUUGUCUCAUCCGCUGACAUUGUUUACAAAUAUUUAAAUCACUGCAAUAUAUACUAAAAUUAGGCAAGCUGUCAUAUUAAAUAUUAAUAUUUAAAUUGAAGCACACAACUAGUCUGUCAUCUAAAUGCUUUAAGACUACUUGCCAUGCGGUUAUAUUUCCCCGUUGAAUCUGAACGUCUUUCCCACUUAAAAUGUCAUAGCCGUGUUUAAAAGUAGUAUAUGCUAAAUAUGUACAAUGGACAUACUCAAGGAACUAAACCAGAAAGGGAGAUGGAAACUUAUGUAAGUAUAUAGAUGCGUAGAUACGGAAUCACUUGUUAUAUGUUAUAUGUUAUAAUUUAAUCGUUCCAAUAAAUAGUAGAAGAAGA